rnacentral:misc_RNA from 1 species
AAGGAUCAUUGUCGAUACCUGCCUAGCAGAGCGACCCGAGAACUCGUUUAAAAACCGAAGGGCCGUUCCGGAGAGGGCUCGGCGGCCCGGCCUCGGCCGGUGCCCGACGUCCCUCGACGGCGCGAGCCAACAACAAUCCCCGGCGCGAGCUGCGCCAAGGAAACCGCAAAAGAGGGUGGGGCUCCGGGGCCUCCGGAGACGGAGCGCGCCUCGGGAGAUCCCAUCCUCCUUGUAACAGUCGAAAUAAAAACGACUCUCGACAACGGAUAUCUCGGCUCUC